AUUGAACGCAGGCGGCAUGCCUUACACAUGCAAGUCGAACGGCAGCACGGGUGCUUGCACCUGGUGGCGAGUGGCGAACGGGUGAGUAAUACAUCGGAACGUACCUUAUCGUGGGGGAUAACGCAGCGAAAGUUGCGCUAAUACCGCAUACGCCCUGAGGGGGAAAGCGGGGGACCGUAAGGCCUCGCGCGAUUAGAGCGGCCGAUGUCUGAUUAGCUUGUUGGUGAGGUAAAAGCUCACCAAGGCGAUGAUCAGUAGCUGGUCUGAGGGGACGAUCAGCCACACUGAGACUGAGACACGGCCCAGACUCCUACGGGAGGCAGCAGUGGGGAAUUUUGGACAAUGGGGGCAGCCCUGAUCCAGCAAUGCCGCGUGAGUGAAGAAGGCCUUCGGGUUGUAAAGCUCUUUUGUCAGGGAAGAAACAGCAGCUCUAACACAGUCUGCGAAUGACGGUACCUGAAGAAUAAGCACCGGCUAACUACGUGCCAGCCGCCGCCGUAA
rnacentral:rRNA from 1 species